CCUACGGGAGGCUGCAGUGAGGAAUAUUGGUCAAUGGCCGGAAGGCUGAACCAGCCAUGCCGCGUGAAGGGCAGGGGCCUAUGGGCGUUAAACUUCGUUUGUGCGGGAGCAAGAAUGGUCACGUGGGGCCAGACGAGAGUACCGUACGAAGAAGCAUCGGCUAACUCCGGGCCAGCAGCCGCGGGAAUACGGGGGAUGCAAGCGUUCUCCGGAUUUAUUGGGUUUAAAGGGGGCGUAGGCUGGGAGGUAAGUCAGCGGUGCAAUGCCCCCGCUCAACGGGGUGAAGUGCCAUUGAUACUGCCUUGCUGGACUGCGGAUGCCGUGGGAGGAAUGUGUGGUGUAGCGG
rnacentral:rRNA from 1 species